GAGCACAGUGUUUAUAGCGUCCGCCUCGGAUGCUGGAGGUCGUGGGUUCGAUCCCCAUAUGAGCCA